GAAAUGCGAUAAGUAAUGUGAAUUGCAGAAUUCCGUGAAUCAUCGAAUCUUUGAACGCACAUUGCGCCCUCUGGCAUUCCGGGGGGCAUGCCUGUCCGAGCGUCAUUACGCACCCUCAAGCCCGGCUUGUGUGAUGGGCCCUGGCGUCUCGUUCGCGAGACGGGCCCGAAAGGCAGCGGCGGCGUCGACCCGAUGAGCCCGAGCGUAUGGGGACUUCUGUCACACGUUCGCGGUGCGGACCGGCGCCUGCUUGACUUUUCUGAUUAUCCAGGUUGACCUCGGAUCAGGUAGGGAUACCCGCUGAACUUAAGA
rnacentral:misc_RNA from 1 species